GACGAACCGUGCGAACGUUAUUCGGAAUCACUGGGCUUAAAGGGCGCGUAGGCGGGCCGGAAAGUCAGGGGUGAAAUCCUCCAGCCCAACUGGAGAAGCGCCUUUGAUACUGUCGGCCUCGAGGGGUGCAGGGGCAUGCGGAACUCAGGGUGGAGCGGUGAGAUGCGUAGAUAUCCUGAGGAACACCGGUGGCGAAAGCGGCGUGCUGGACACCUUCUGACGCUGAGGCGCGAAAGCCAGGGGAGCGAACGGG
rnacentral:rRNA from 1 species